rnacentral:rRNA from 1 species
UCGUUCCUACGGGACGCAGCAGUAGGGAAUCUUCCACAAUGGACGAAAGUCUGAUGGAGCAACGCCGCGUGAGUGAAGAAGGGUUUCGGCUCGGAAAGCUCUGUUGGUAGGGAAGAAAGAUAGAGGGAGUAACUGGCCUUUAUUUGACGGGAAUUACUUAGAAAGUCACGGCUAAAUACGUGCCAGCAGCCGCGGUAAUACGUAGGUGGCAAGCGUUGUCCGGAUUUAUUGGGCGUAAAGCG